GGUCACCAAUAGAUUACUGAUGAAAACACUAUUCUAAACACUAUACAACACAUUUACAAAGAUUUACAAACAUAGCCAAUUCAUUUGAAGCUUUUCUGGAUACAGAAAGUCUUAGAAAUGUCAAAUAGUUUGCUGCCUAUUAAACCGUUAUUGAUGCUCUUAAUACUACAUUUAGUUUCUUUACAGGACUUUUAUAGCAGCCCUUAAAGUAUUCUGUGAACACGAGAUGUGAGUCCACGGAUCAUUUUCAGUCCUUCUCGCAGGCAUCCAGAAGAGACCCAAGGACCUCUGCAGUAGAUUAAACUGUGGAAAUGCUGAGAGAAAGAGAGAGAGGGACCUCUUGGAGAUUAACUCACUCUGAAUAAAUGCCAAUUGAUGUACAAUGGAUUGGGAUUAGACUUCAGAUCCUUCCAGAAAACCCUUGGAAACUUUCUCUUUCAUCUUGUCUGGAGGAGAUUAGUCCAAUUUCCAGCACAUGACGUUGAUUAGCGUCAAGUCACAUUCUUUGCAUCGCACCCGCGCAUGUGGAUGGAUUAGCUAAUAUAUCCAGAUUUAGUUUUUUCAUUUUUCUUUCAUAACUCAUGAUGUCAGACGUGAUGUUAAUAACGCCGGCUAAAUUGGACGGAGCCACAGCGAACUUUAAGCUGGCGUCCAGCCUCCAUCCGAUCGGGAGACAGCGAGCUGCAUCCUUUGUCUCCUCCUCUUCUACCACCGGCUGCUCGAAGGGGUUUGCAUUGCCGGGUUUGCAAUAAAGGAAGAUGUGUCUGUUUUAAAGAAACAGAACAAAGCUAAAAAUAAAAGUCCAAAUAUAAAAUCCGAUCGGGAGGAUUCCAGGUGGCGGCGCUACAAGAGUCGAGUCGAGACCUUCCCCUCAUUACAUUUAGCUGACGCUUUUAUCCAAAGCGACUUACAUUACAUUGUUGACCCAUGGAGCAAUUAGGGGUCAGGUGUCUUGCUCAGGGACACACACCGACAUGCCGGGGCUCAAACCAGCAACCUGCGCCACCGUCGACCCCCUCUCUCAUCAACAUCCGCAAGAUCCAUCUCGUUCCUCUCUUCCUCCAUCUGCCUCCCUCGCUCCACCCUCCCUAUCCGAAGUCCACUCCUCCGUCCUUGGAACCAACAACCUGCUCUUGUUGCCAAAAAACACUUGAUUCAAGUCUCCCAACGCGAGCCUCCCUUCACGGGGGAGAAGGGAACGCAUCAUGUUCACUUGGACAGUGAGAACCCUUUCCUUCUCAAACUAGUCAGAUUCCAUGAGGUGCCCCCCCACAUGAGGUUGUGCUUAUGCUAAUGCAAUUAAACACUCAGGGACCGAGGGGACAUGCGGCUGAUGAGCUGAACAAAGAACAUUGCAUUACCAUCUCAGAUGGGAGAGGAGAUGGAGUGCUGUAGAUGGGACGGAAUAGGGGGAGAUAGAAGGAUAGAAGGGGGGGAGACAGGAAGGGAGAGAAGGAUGAAGCGACAUAAAGGAGUCCAACCUGCAGUGAGAGACAGUAUGUUGAAGCUGGCUGUCUGAGUUUGAGAUGAUACCUCAUCUGGGGCCUCCAGUGGGAGAGAAGAUCAUGUACUCAGGUACCUGGGUGCUUUAUAUUUAGUUACCUUGUUGGACCGUGACAGAAUAAACAACCACAGAACAGAACAUGUGUUUUUACUGUUUAAUUACACUCACGUUUGGUUGACUAAUUCAGCAUCAUUGACCCUGAACAGCAUUAAGUACCUGGUGGUCCUUGAGCAGCACAUAUUUAGUAUUACAUCGACCACACAAGCUUCCACGUAUAUAAAAAGGUGUGAGGCACAGAAUCAGAACUCAGGACUACUUGCACCUGUUUUCUUUCCGUAGAUUGCGGAAGGCGCUCAGCUGUCUGUCACAUUCUGACAAAGGAAUUGUCAAUAUUCCCCUCUAUCAUUUUCUGCUUUAUUCGUAUAAUUUCCCUCCCACUCUUUCCCCGUUCUCACAACACUACAGAAAUGUAGUUUCUUAAAGCAUAAAAUAUUCACCUGGUCCCGCUCGUCAAACACAUUAUAGGUGAUGGAACGUUGAUUGACACUCAGAGUGCUCAAAUUGCCAUUUGACAGUUUCUGUCAGGUGGGUUUGUGUUGCAGCAGCGAUCCUCUUUCUCAAAGCAUUGUAAUGCAUUAGAAGCCGUUUUGAUUGAAACAAUACCAGAAAAUCUAAAACAAUACGAAUGUUUUUUGUGUGGAGACGGUUAUGAUGUCAUAAUGGUCAUAAUUACAUACAUGUAGAUUGCAGGGUGUCUUAUCUCCAACAAGUGUUGUGUGUAAAUACUAUAAUUAAAUAUAUUUACUCUCAAUUACAGUCCUCCAGCCUGCAAGCACAUGAAUGAGGCAAUUACUCUCCUCCCACCUUUAUCAUUCCUGACCUGUGAGGGUUCAGAGGGUUCUGAGUGUUUAAAAGGUUUAGAGGGUUUAGAGGGUUGUGAGGGUUCUGAGGGUUUAGAUGGUUCUGAGGGUUCUGAGGGUUCUGAGGGUUUAGAGGGUUCAGAAGGUUCUGAGAGGGCACAGAAGCUGCUUUGAGUCCUGAA
ensembl:lncRNA